CUUGUCUAAGAGUGGGAGGGAUUUGAAGCACAAAGGGAGGAGCUUGUCGUUUGGUUGGCUGAUAUGGAUGUCCACCUGAGUGCGGUUGACCAGCUGACAGGAAACACAUGUGAAAAACUGAAACAACUGCAGAUCUACAGAUUUGGGAUAAGCUACAGGCUCCUCCACCCCUGCUGGCUCUUCUGUCCUGCCCAGGUUGGCGCUCCUGGUGCCCCCUCGUCAGGUCCAGCAGUCCUACCGUCCAUCCAACAGCUCCUUCUCCCCUCUUACAGCCUCUAUGGGAGCUCCAUCUGUGGUGGCUACAGGCCUUACAGCUACAGCUAUGGUGGCGGCUAUGGUGGUGGCUACAGCCUGGGAGGAUACAGACACACACCUCACCUUGAAGACGUCCCCCCCAGCAGACACUAACUGGGCGAGCGAGGAGGACGACCACGUGGUGGCCAGAGGAGA